rnacentral:rRNA from 1 species
CAUAUGGUUGUAUCAAAGAUUAAGCCAUGCAUGUAUACGUACAUACGUUUGCGCGGUGAAACCGCGAAUGGGUCAUUAAAUCAGUUAUGGUUCUUUAGAUUGUUCAUUUUACAUGGAUAACUGUGGUAAUUGUAGAAAUAAUACAUGCAAAACGUUCUGAAAAUAUGGGAAGAGGAAUGAUAUUAGACCAAAGCCAAAGGGGCAGCAACAUCCGUGGGUUAGGGGAGUUUCGAUAAAUUUGUGCUGAUCGCAUGGCCUCGAGCCGGCGAUGUAUCUUUCAAGUGUCUUCCCUAUCAACUUUCGAUGGUAAGGUAUUUGCCAAACAUGGUUGCAACGGGUAACGGGGAAUGG